UUAACAGCUACGGCGAUACAUAUUCUAAAAUUAAAACGAUACAGAGAUAAUUAGCAUGGCCCCUUCAUAAGGAUGACACAGAAAUUCGUGAAGCAUUCCAUAUUUUU